CACAUCUGUCCUAAACUAUACAUUUCUAUCUAAAUGUUACGCAACUCCUGAACAAUCCCUCUGACCCCUGUGCUCUAUCCUGACCUUUGACCCUUUCCAGGUAUGAACUCCAUCCUGGUGUACGUGGGACACGAGGUCCUGGAGGAGUACUUCCCGUUCCGCUGGCGCAUGGCCAACAACCAAUCCCACGCAGAGCACCUGACCCAAAACCUAUUGGCCACUUCCUGCUGGGUCCUCAUCUCCUUCCUGCUGUACAGGAAGAACAUCUUCUGGAAGAUCUAGAGGGCCAGGACACAUUUCAAUAGUCUUUCUUCAAGUCCUCUAAAGAUUUAGGGGGAAGGUCUAAGGGGCCGGGCUGCGUCUCAUAAAUAUUUUCUCAAGUCUUUCUGAAGGAUCUGCUCUCUUCAAUUCCUUGUGUCCUGUAACCAACGAUCCACUGGGAGAUGUCGAGCUGGGCCGUAUCUCAAUAGUCUCCUCAAUUCCUUGAAGAUCUUUGGCUGGGUUGCAUUUCACUUGUCUUUCAUCAAUUCCUUGUAUCCUUUCUCCAGCUUCCUUUUAAAAAGGGAUAGUGUAAAGCGUUUCCUCUCCUUGUUUCCUUUCCUCAUGUGCUCUCCUUGCUUGACGCUGAUGUUUUGAGAAGGGAACAUAAUCACUCAGGAAAAGGCUGGUCUGGGAUUGUAUACAAGAGACACGGAAACUCAAGAAACCAUGAUUACCAUUUUUCUGCUCAUCAAAUGUUAUUAGUCACAUGCGCCGAAUACAACAGGUGUAGUAGACCUUACCGUGAAAUGUUUACUCACGAGCCCAUAACCAACAAUACAGUUGAAGAAAAUAGAGUUCAUGGAAACAAUGCUACAGGCUCUGGUCUACGCUACACUUUCACUAUGGACACACAGUUCAGAGGUCACUGGGAUGUGUGUGACAUCCAUGUGGGAUCAAACUGGGCUUCACAAAAAAAAAAUGGAGUGUACAGCCAAACAGUCAUCAAGGAAAUGAAUGAUGGAUGA
rnacentral:lncRNA from 8 species